AUGCCUUACUUCCACAAGCUCGACUUCCCAAAGCAUGAUGGUUCGGUCGAUCCUCUUGGUUGGCUCAAUAGGUAUGAGUAGUUUUUUCGUGGACAUUGCACGGACGAGGCUGACAAAGUCUAGCCUGCAGCCUACCACCUCUCCAAUGACACUUAGUUCUGGUACUUACAGCUCAAGCGCGAUUUUGGCAUGCCAAAAUGGGAGCAGUUCAAGGAAGCUUGCCGCGUUCAGUUUGGGCCGUCACUCCACACCAAUCCCUUGGGCGAGUAGGCACAACUGCCAUUCACUUCCUCGACUAGUGCUCAUGUGCUACAACAAUGA
rnacentral:rRNA from 1 species